GCACCUAUNACCCAUAUAUCUUUAUAUUUUUUUAGCNAAUGCUCGUUCGGUUUUAGGUUGGGGUGACCAUGGAGUAAAAAAUAACCUCCACGAAAAAAGGCAUAAAACCCUUAUCAAAGAGCCACAUCUCUAUGAAUUAGUAAACUAAUUUCUGAUGAUCCGAUAUUCGAUCAACGAACCAAGUUACCCUGGGGAUAACAGCGCAAUCCGCCUUAAGAGCCCCUAUCGACAGGCGGGUUUACGACCUCGAUGUUGGAUCAGGGUAUCCCAGUGGUGCAACAGCUACUAAAGGUUCGUUUGUUCAACGAUUAAAACCCU
rnacentral:rRNA from 1 species